GGGGGCGACAAGGUUUCGACGGAACGGUUGGGGCUUCAGUUGCGCGCCGAGGACUCCGGUAUACUCGACAAUGUCCGGAAAAAACAAACCGCCAACUCUGAAUUGGCUCUCGCGGCUUAAUUAGCCACGACGCUGAACCGCCGAUGUCUGCUGAGCGGGGAAGUGUCAUACAGCAGGCUGGCAUGCCGCCGUGCGACCGGGUAGGCAUGCGACACCGACGUGGACGCUGGCGCAUCAGGUGGCCCGCCCUUGGGCAGCCGGAUGGGCGAGACUCAAUCAAGGGAUACGCGCGUAGAUGCUGAGGUGACUUCGUUUCGGACGGGGGUUCGACUCCCCCCGCCUCCACCA
rnacentral:tmRNA from 1 species